CCCUUAGAUGUCCUGGGCCGCACGCGCGCUACACUGAACGGAUCAGCGCGUUUUCCCUUCCCGAGAGGGACGGGUAACCUGCUGAACCCCGUUCGUGGUAGGGAUCGGGGCUUGCAAUUAUUCCCCGUGAACCAGGAAUGCCUAGUAAGUGCAAGUCAUAAGCUUGCGUUGAUUACGUCCCUGCCCUUUGUACACACCGCCCGUCGCUACUACCGAUUGAACGUUUUAGUGAGGUACUCGGACUGAGCCUCAGAAGAUUCACGUCUUUUGUGCUGCUCGGGAAGAUUCCCAAACUUGAGCGUUUAGAGGAAGUAAAAGUCGUAACA
rnacentral:rRNA from 1 species